GUGUAAUUUGUUGACGUAUGCUAAAAGCAAACUCCUAAAUUUUAGAAGUGUGCUUUUAGCAUACGUCAACAAAUUACAC